rnacentral:piRNA from 1 species
UACUAGCUAUGACGGAGCCCAGAUAAAU